rnacentral:rRNA from 1 species
UACGUAGGCAGCAAGCGUUGUUCGGAAUUACUGGGCGUAAAGCGUGUGCAGGCGGGCUUGCACGUGGUGUAUGAAAGCUCCCGGCUCAACCGGGAAGGGGUAUGCCAGACUGCUAGUCUUGAGUGCGAGAGAGGAGCGUGGAAUUCCGGGUGUAGUGGUGAAAUGCGUAGAGAUCCGGAGGAACCCCAGAGGCGAAGGCGGCGCUCUGGGCCGGAACUGACGCUGAGGAGCGAAAGCGUGGGGAGCAAACAGG